UUAUUUUUUGUUGUAAGUUAUCAUUGUAUAUAAUAUUAUUUGAUUUAGCCUUCUUACAUUGCAAUAUACUCUCACUUUAUUUUUUCUUUGCUCUAUGAUAAUAUUUUUAAUUCAAGAUGUCACAUCUUAACAAAAUCUUUCUAACCUCUUUCUAGUCAUCAAAAGAAAAUAUUAUAUAGAUUUGAUUGUUCUUUCUUUCUUCCUUUCUAUAUAUAAUGAAUAGUGUUGCUCCCCAAAUUUGUAUUAGACCUACAUCAAAAAGUGAUAUUUACAAAACUUUCUUAAAAUAUUUUGCACAAAUUCAAAACGAAGUUUUUAUUUUACUUGUCAUAAAUGUCACGGUCAAGAUGUAAAAAUCUAUAUAUAAAAUAUUAGUAAUAAUAUUUUAAUACAUGGGAUGUCCCUUUUCACUUUAUUCCAUGUCCAAGAGCCAAGGCUUCCAAAGGACAACUUUUCUUCACCAAGUGGAAAACCCCCACAAAACUCCUCAUCCACCAUGACUUUUCAGAAAUGAACUUCUUCUAGACCCUAAAGCAGACCCCUCCCUCCCUCAGUCAGUGCUGCUGCAUGCUAUUUUAUUAUUCCAUUGCCUGACUUGCUUGCUUGCUUGAAGCGCUACAAAGUUACACGACCACCACGGAAUAAUGCGUCGAGACCGAGAAGCCCCCCUAUUCGGCGAUGUUCGAAGUUGGCGCGAAAGCUUUGAAUCUCGCGCUUUCUCAAGUCUAGCUCAGCAACUGGGCAAAUGCAAAAAAAACACGGGGUCCCAGCAACUGCCCACCUCAGCGCGCAACAACAACAGUAUCGCUUGCGGGACUUGGACUCUCCGUGAACACUGGAUUGUGCUCCCUCGCAAUUCUAAUUCCACUCCCUUGUAAUCUCCUCUCAGCCCACUUCAAUUCCCAUCCCAUUCCAUGAUUUGCAGCUCGUCGCAAGCUCUACAUGGAACGCAAAUUUACACUGGGUGAUGGGUUUCGCGGCCAACACCUCGCCGGCCUCGGCUUCGCUUUUGCAGACAUCGUUUCCAACGUGUUGUCUCUCCUCUUCAACGUUGUUGGGGGCGGGGAUUCUAAUUCAGUGCUGCCGGCGGUGGCGGUCGGCUCGCCCUCUAUUCUUGUAACCCAGCCAUCAAAACCCUCCUGCCCGGAUUUGGAUCACGCUGACGUUAUGCCCUCCUUGCCAUCAACACGAUGAUCUGGCACCAUCUUUUGGGUGCGGUUGGAACCUCGGAUUCAGACCUGCCCGAUUUGUGGUUGCAUGCGGCAGUGAUUGCGUCAUCGCUCCGAAAUAGAAAUCCAUUUCCUUCGA
rnacentral:lncRNA from 1 species